rnacentral:rRNA from 1 species
AAUUAUUGUAAAGCGGGCGCGCAGGCGGUCUCUUAAGUCUGAUGUG